rnacentral:rRNA from 1 species
UUCCAGACUCCUACGGGAGGCAGCAGUGGGGAAUAUUGCACAAUGGGGGAAACCCUGAUGCAGCAACGCCGCGUGAGUGAAGAAGUCAUUCGUGAUGUAAAGCUCUAUCAGCAGGGAAGAAAAUGACGGUACCUGACUAAGAAGCCCCGGCUAACUACGUGCCAGCAGCCGCGGUAAUACGUAGGGGGCAAGCGUUAUCCGGAUUUACUGGGUGUAAAGGGAGCGUAGACGGCUGUGCAAGCCAGAUGUGAAAGCCCGGGGCUCAACCCCGGGACUGCAUUUGGAACUGUGUGGCUGGAGUGUCGGAGAGGCAGGCGGAAUUCCUAGUGUAGCGGUGAAAUGCGUAGAUAUUAGGAGGAACACCAGUGGCGAAGGCGGCCUGCUGGACGAUGACUGACGUUGAGGCUCGAAAGCGUGGGGAGCAAACAGGAUUAGAUACCCGUGUA